rnacentral:rRNA from 1 species
CUACGGGUGGCAGCAGUGGGGAAUAUUGCACAAUGGGCGCAAGCCUGAUGCAGCCAUGCCGCGUGUAUGAAGAAGGCCUUCGGGUUGUAAAGUACUUUCAGCGGGGAGGAAGGGAGUAAAGUUAAUACCUUUGCUCAUUGACGUUACCCGCAGAAGAAGCACCGGCUAACUCCGUGCCAGCAGCCGCGGUAAUACGGAGGGUGCAAGCGUUAAUCGGAAUUACUGGGCGUAAAGCGCACGCAGGCGGUUUGUUAAGUCAGAUGUGAAAUCCCCGGGCUCAACCUGGGAACUGCAUCUGAUACUGGCAAGCUUGAGUCUCGUGGAGGGGGGUAGAAUUCCAGGUGUAGCGGUGACAUGCGUAGAGAUCUGGAGGAAUACCGGUGGCGAAGGCGGCCCCCUGGACGAAGACUGACGCUCAGGUGCGAAAGCGUGGGGAGCAAACAGGAUUAGAUACCCUUGUAGUC